rnacentral:rRNA from 1 species
ACGUAGGUGGCGGGCGUUGUCCGGAUUUACUGGGCGUAAAGGGAGCGUAGGUGGACUUUUAAGUGAGAUGUGAAAUACCCGGGCUCAACUUGGGUGCUGCAUUUCAAACUGGAAGUCUAGAGUGCAGGAGAGGAAAGUGGAAUUCCUAGUGUAGCGGUGAAAUGCGUAGAGAUUAGGAAGAACACCAGUGGCGAAGGCGACUUUCUGGACUGUAACUGACACUGAGGCUCGAAAGCGUGGGGAGCAAACAGGAUUAGAUACCCUGGUAGUCCACGCCGUAAACGAUGACGACUAGGUGUAGGGGUUGUCAUGACCUCUGUGCCGCCGCUAACGCAUUAAGUAUUCCGCCUGGGGAGUACGGUCGCAAGAUUA